ACGCUGAACAGCCCCUCCUUCGCUCAAUCUUUACCGUCCUCGCGGUCAAAAAAAAAUAUUUCCCAUCCUUCUGUCGAUCGUCCCUGUCUCUUCUCUUCUAGGGUUCACCACCUCUGCCGCCCCUGACGCUACUCCUUCGAUGCUGCCCCUCCCUCUGCCUGCCUCCUCUCUCUCUCUCUCUCUCUCUCUCUCUCUCUCUCUCCGUCAAUCCAUCCAAGUCGAACCACACCCGUCGGGUCCCAUGCUCCCAUGGGAGAUCGAGCGCAUGUAGCCAACCGAUGAGCCACCUUGUUUUCCGGCGGCACCUCGCUGCGGCCGCGGCCAUCCGGCGAUCCCCUGCUGCGUUCACUUCCAUGUGACCCACCUCUCUGGAGCGCUCCAUGUUUUUGGUCGUGAUCCGGUUUCGUCCAAUGCUUAUCAUCGCGGGGGGAGCAGUCCGUGGAAAUUUGAUGCCGUUUUCUUAUGCAGGAGCUCGAAGCACCUGCUCCCGGGCCGCCAUUUUAGACACGGUCUGGGCUGGUAGCUGUCAGGGUUCCGAGGGGAUCCUGACAUUGAUUUGCACUGCUCGGUUACUCACAGUUUUAGGUGAUGUGCAGGUUGCUGCACACGCCGGAAUUUGCUAUGGUGUCUCCCAAGGAGAUCUUUGGUUCAAGCCCAGGGGAAGUGCAGAAAUUCGGUAAGAUGACCGCCAUUUUGUGGAUAUGUUUGUAUGCAUUCUUUUAAAUUGGUCCUGCUUGCUAGCUUUGUCAUGGGCACGCUUCAUAACUGUCUCUGUCCAUGGGGUUACUGAUUACUGAUUGUGAUGUUUAAGCAUGAUACACAGGAAUAUUAUUAUCUUUAUGGUGAAGGUGGAUAGAAAUAAUUUUACUUGAGAAGGAGCUCUCCAUUGCAUCUGAUGUGUACUAUCAGUAUCAGACUUCAUUCUCUGAACUUCCUAUUGGGCAAAAUGGACAAGAUGUGUUUGGUCAGUCGUGCUUUGUUUUUUUAGGCUAUGGCUAUGAUAACUUGAUGACACCCCUUUGUAGUACAGAGCAAUCUCAUGUGUUUGUCCUCCAGCUUCAAGAACAUUGAUUAAUGUACAAUGGCCAAGCAAUUAUUUAAAAAAUACAAAACCUGAAAUUGAAUUGCUAAAACAUGGAAUUAUUCUUCUUCUUGGUAGGUUAAUGUAUGACUAUCAGGUUCCCCACCAAGUGAAAUGUGCUAUUUCACCACAGACGUUGACAAAGUUAAGUUCAGUGCAGGGAAAAUGGAUAGUCUGCUAACUGGAACUCUGGAUAGUUGAUCCUUUGAAUGGCGAAAAAUUUAUCAAAGUUGCUGAGGUUCGGGGAUCUGAAAUAAAGGUGAUUCUCGAGGGGAACAAGUCGCCAUGGACUGGCGAGAUCGAGAGAGGCUCCGCGGUUGCGAGGAACGCCGGCUGAGAGGAGUGGCAACAACAACCCGUUGGCCGUGAUGGCCCGAGCAUUUGUGAGAGGGGAUAGAGCGGCGGUUGCGCAACUACCUCGUGCCGACAAGUUGCGAGAGUGGAUGGAGUAGCGGCUGCAUGGGGGCGCUCCUGGAGGUGUCAGUAUGCACCCUAAUUUUGAGCCUGGGAGGAUCCUCGCUCUGCCCAAGCCUCAAGGGUGUCCAUCUACUUUGGUGUCGUUUUCUGGAGUCAAGAUGAUGCACUAAUGCAGCAAGAAUGUAUAGAUCUCCAGAGCUCUAUGGAUCCUUCUCUUCACAAAAGGGCGUGGACGGCGAGAAGCGGAGGCACAUGCCUAGCGUAGCGGACCAUGAUGGAUUGAUGAGCUGAUGUCACGUGGCGGCUGGUUAUGCCCCAGCGGCUGGAGCCAUCAUCGACCAUGCUACAAAAUACAAUAUAUAUGUUUUUCAAAAAGAGCUCAAAAUACAACCGACUUUUCCUUGUUUAAAUUUUACUGGUAUUGUCGUGUGUGUAUUAGCUCUGAAGUAUGUUCUCAAAGAAUAUGUAAUAUUUUUCGUGUUGUAUCCAUUUGUGGAGAGUUUAUCUAAAUGCCCAACGCAUGGACUUCACAACCCC